rnacentral:snoRNA from 1 species
CCCUGUAUUCGAAAGGAAUUGUGGGCUGCCUGUGCCCUGGUCAUUGAUACUGCAGGGAGAGGAUGUGGAAAGCCUUUCUCUGUGUUUGGAGGGUCUACUUCUGUCCUUGCCAAACCCUGGUGCUUUCCCACA